AUUGAACGCUGGCGGCAUGCCUUACACAUGCAAGUCGAACGGCAGCACGGGAGCAAUCCUGGUGGCGAGUGGCGAACGGGUGAGUAAUACAUCGGAACGUGUCCAGUUGUGGGGGAUAGCCCGGCGAAAGCCGGAUUAAUACCGCAUACGACCUACGGGUGAAAGCGGGGGAUCGCAAGACCUCGCGCUAUUGGAGCGGCCGAUGUCAGAUUAGCUUGUUGGUAGGGGAAAAGCCUACCAAGGCGACGAUCUGUAGCUGGUCUGAGAGGACGAUCAGCCACACCGGAACUGAGACACGGUCCGGACUCCUACGGGAGGCAGCAGUGGGGAAUAUUGGACAAUGGGCGCAAGCCUGAUCCAGCAAUUCCGCGUGUGUGAAGAAGGCCU
rnacentral:rRNA from 1 species